rnacentral:rRNA from 1 species
AAGGAUCAUUAAUGAAUUCACUAUGGAGUUGUUGCUGGCCUCUAGGGGCAUGUGCACGCUUCACUAGUCUUUCAACCACCUGUGAACUUUUGAUAGAUCUGUGAAGUCGUCUCUCAAGUCGUUAGACUUGGUUUGCUGGGAUGUAAACGUCUCGGUGUGACUACGCAGUCUAUUUACUUAUAACACCCCAAAUGUAUGUCUACGAAUGUCAUUUAAAGGGCCUUGUGCCUAUAAACCAUAAUACAACUUUCAACAACGGAUCUCUUGGCUCUCGCAUCGAUGAAGAACGCAGCGAAAUGCGAUAAGUAAUGUGAAUUGCAGAAUUCAGUGAAUCAUCGAAUCUUUGAACGCACCUUGCGCCCCUUGGUAUUCCGAGGGGCAUGCCUGUUUGAGUGUCAUUAAAUUCUCAAACUCACUCUGGUUUUUCCAAUUGUGAUGUUUGGAUUGUUGGGGGCUGCUGGCCUUGACAGGUCGGCUCCUCUUAAAUGCAUUAGCAGGACUUCUCAUUGCCUCUGCGCAUGAUGUGAUAAUUAUCACUCAUCAAUAGCACGCAUGAAUAGAGUCUGGCUCUCUAACCGUCCGCAAGGACAAUUUGACAAUUUGACCUCAAAUCAGGUAGGACUACCCGCUGAACUUAAA